rnacentral:rRNA from 1 species
AUUGAACGCUGGCGGCAGGCUUAACACAUGCAAGUCGAGCGGGGGAAGGUAGCUUGCUACCGGACCUAGCGGCGGACGGGUGAGUAAUGCUUAGGAAUCUGCCUAUUAGUGGGGGACAACAUCUCGAAAGGGAUGCUAAUACCGCAUACGUCCUACGGGAGAAAGCAGGGGAUCUUCGGACCUUGAGCUAAUAGAUGAGCCUAAGUCGGAUUAGCUAGUUGGUGGGGUAAAGGCCUACCAAGGCGACGAUCUGUAGCGGGUCUGAGAGGAUGGUCCGCCACACUGGGACUGAGACACGGCCCAGACUCCUACGGGAGGCAGCAGUGGGGAAUAUUGGACAAUGGGGGGAACCCUGAUCCAGCCAUGCCGCGUGUGUGAAGAAGGCCUUAUGGUUGUAAAGCACUUUAAGCGAGGAGGAGGCUACUUUAGUUAAUACCUAGGGAUAGUGGACGUUACUCGCAGAAUAAGCACCGGCUAACUCUGUGCCAGCCGCCGCAGUAA